GCCGGAUAGCUCAGUUGGUAGAGCAGAGGA
rnacentral:tRNA from 1 species